rnacentral:rRNA from 1 species
AUUGAACGCUGGCGGCAUGCUUUACACAUGCAAGUCGAACGGCAGCGCGGGCUUCGGCCUGGCGGCGAGUGGCGAACGGGUGAGUAAUACAUCGGAACGUGCCCAGUAGUGGGGGAUAGCUCGGCGAAAGCCGGAUUAAUACCGCAUACGACCUGAGGGUGAAAGCGGGGGAUCUUCGGACCUCGCGCUAUUGGAGCGGCCGAUGGCAGAUUAGCUAGUUGGUGGGGUAAAGGCCUACCAAGGCGACGAUCUGUAGCUGGUCUGAGAGGACGACCAGCCACACUGGGACUGAGACACGGCCCAGACUCCUACGGGAGGCAGCAGUGGGGAAUUUUGGACAAAGGGCGAAAGCCCGAUCCAGCAAUGCCGCGUGUGUGAUGAAGGCCUUCGGGUUGUAAAGCACUUUUGGCGGGAACGAAAAGGACUGUGCCAAUACCACGGUUCGAUGACGGUACCCGCAGAAUAAGCACCGGCUAACUACGUG